rnacentral:rRNA from 1 species
GAUGAACGCUGACAGAAUGCUUAACACAUGCAAGUCGAUGGGGAAGUGGUGCUUGCCCCAUGGCAACCAUGGCGGACGGGUGAGUAACGCGUAAGGGACUUACCUGCAGGACUGGGAUAACAGGGGGAAACUCCUGACAAGACCGGAUAAUGUCAUGGAGCUGCAUGGCUUUAUGAUGAAAGGAGACGCCUGCGGAGAGCCUUGCGUCCUAUUAGCUAGUUGGUGAGGUAAUGGCUCACCAAGGCGAAGAUAGGUAGCCGGCCUGAGAGGGUGGACGGCCACAAGGGGACUGAGAUACGGCCCUUACUCCUACGGGAGGCAGCAGUGGGGAAUAUUGGACAGUGGGGGCAACCCUGAUCCAGCAAUUCUGUGUGCACGAAGAAGGUUUUCGGAUUGUAAAGUGCUUUCAGCAGGGAAGAAGUAAGUGACGGUACCUGCAGAAGAAGCGACGGCUAAAUACGUG